rnacentral:tRNA from 1 species
GAGGGUAUAGCACAGUGGUAGAGUGCAUGCCUAGCAUGCACAAGGUCCUAGGUUCAAUUCCCAGUACCUCUG